AUUGAACGCUGGCGGCAUGCCUUACGCAUGCAAGUCGAACGGUAACAGGUCUUCGGAUGCUGACGAGUGGCGAACGGGUGAGUAAUACAUCGGAACGUGCCCGAGAGUGGGGGAUAACGAGGCGAAAGCUUUGCUAAUACCGCAUACGAUCUCAGGAUGAAAGCAGGGGACCGCAAGGCCUUGCGCUCACGGAGCGGCCGAUGGCAGAUUAGGGAGUUGGUGGGAUAAAAGCUUACCAAGCCGACGAUCUGUAGCUGGUCUGAGAGGACGACCAGCCACACUGGGACUGAGACACGGCCCAGACUCCUACGGGAGGCAGCAGUGGGGAAUUUUGGACAAUGGGCGCAAGCCUGAUCCAGCCAUGCCGCGUGCAGGAUGAAGGCCUUCGGGUUGUAAACUGCUUUUGUACGGAACGAAAAGACUCUGGUUAAUACCUGGGGUCCAUGACGGUACCGUAAGAAUAAGCACCGGCUAACUACGUGCCAGCCGCCGCCGUAAGAC
rnacentral:rRNA from 1 species